rnacentral:rRNA from 1 species
AAGGGCGCGUAGGCGGAUUAUCAAGUCUCUUGUGAAAUCUAAUGGCUUAACCAUUAAACUGCUUGGGAAACUGAUAGUCUAGAGUGAGGGAGAGGCAGAUGGAAUUGGUGGUGUAGGGGUAAAAUCCGUAGAUAUCACCAAGAAUACCCAUUGCGAAGGCGAUCUGCUGGAACUCAACUGACGCUAAGGCGCGAAAGCGUGGGGAGCAAACAGGAUUAGAUACCCUGGUAGUCCACGCCCUAAACGAUGUACACUAGUUGUUGGGAUGCUAGUCAUCUCAGUAAUGCAGCUAACGCAUUAAGUGUACCGCCUGGGGAGUACGGUCGCAAGAUUAAAACUCAAAGGAAUAGACGGGGACCCGCACAAGCGGUGGAGCAUGUGGUUUAAUUCGAAGAUACGCGAAGAACCUUACCUGGGCUUGAUAUCCUAAGAACCUUUUAGAGAUAAGAGGGUGCUAGCUUGCUAGAACUUAGAGACAGGUGCUGCACGGCUGUCGUCAGCUCGUGUCGUGAGAUGUUGGGUUAAGUCCCGCAACGAGCGCAACCCACGUAUUUAGUUGCUAACGGUUCGGCCGAGCACUCUAAAUAGACUGCCUUCGUAAGGAGGAGGAAGGUGUGGACGACGUCAAGUCAUCAUGGCCCUUAUGCCCAGGGCGACACACGUGCUACAAUGGCAUAUACAAUGAGACGCAAUACCGCGAGGUGGAGCAAAUCUAUAAAAUAUGUCCCAGUUCGGAUUGUUCUCUGCAACUCGAGAGCAUGAAGCCGGAAUCGCUAGUAAUCGUAGAUCAGCCAUGCUACGGUGAAUACGUUCCCGGGUCUUGUA